UUUUUUUUUUUUUUUACUCUAAUGUUUUAAGCAUGGUAUAGUCCAAAAGCAACUUAACUUUUACCUCAUUUGGUCCACAUGAUCUUUGAAUGUAUGUAUGCAUGUGAUCACACACACACACACACACACACACACACACACACACACACACUAGCUAUCCCUUGUCUCAAGUUGGCUCCAGCUGAGGUCUUCAGUAACUUCCUCUGUCACUACUGAAAUAUUAGCAUCAUCACAGUAGAUCAGAGAUAGCAGGAUAAAUUGGUAUUUUGUAUUACAUGAUCAUUCAUUUCAAAACCAUGACAAAAGGAGCUAUAGAAAUAGGGGCACUAGGAAUGACCACAUUCUUAAGGGAGGUGUGGUUGGGAUGGCAUACCCAGAAAAAGGUCAGCAGUGAGGGGAUGAAAUUUUUCCCUAGGCCUGCACAUAAGCAGAUACAGUUAAUCACUGAGUUACUAUGUCUGGAAAAGGAAGCUAAAAGCCAACAGCUCUGAGUAACAAAAAUAUCAACAUUUUAAGUUAAUGGACAUAAGCUUUCAGCACCAUGACUUGUCAUUUGGAAAAUGUCCCCUAGACAAUACAAAAAGACAGUCAUCCCAUCCCACCCAAGUACAGUAGCCCCCUAGAAAUCAGAAGUGCCUGCCACACAUGGUAGUGCCACCACCUAUCCAUGAAGCCAGCCUUCUCUGCUAUGCCUUACGCACUCCUGUUGGGGCUGUUGGUGAUUAUUUUCCUAGAAUGCCACAUUUCAGCUCUGUGGUUUUUUGGGGCUAGCUUUAUGGUGGCUCUCUGAGAGCAAUUAUUCACCUCUGAUUCCUACUUAUACACCUAAGGACUGAGAAGUAGGUCUCCAAUCCGUUGACCACUUUUCUCAGUUUUUAUAUUUGAACAUUCUUUUUUUUUUUAAUUUUUUUAUUUGAACAUUCUAUAAAGAGAACUGAUGGUUCCCAGUUCUUUUGCUAAAACCAAGUCUGAAUGUGCCCUGCCAAACUACAGCACGGAUGAGCAGCUGACUACCCACUCCAUACUGGUAUUAUGAAUUCUAAACCAUUGCAUCCUCUCUCUGCACAUACUUUGGCAUGUAUUAGAUAGUCACUAUACACUUGCUGACUGAAUUUUGAGAGCAAUACUGACAAAAUGGGGGCAUAUUUGGAGGAAGCAAUGAACAGGCUAGUGACAUUUUGUUUGUGGAGUCAAAUGCGUGAGAACUUCUUUCAAAUGGAGUUGUCCAAAAAGAACGACUAAGCCUUCCAUUAUAAACUCUAGGUCAUUUUGACCUAACGAUCCAAUGUAGCAUUUUCCACUUAGUUUUCAAUAUGAUGUAGUACUGUGGGGAAAAAAAUCUCAUAAUGAAAAAGUUUAGGAGAUGCUGGAUCAAAUAGCUCUCAUAACCCUACAACUUCUCAGUGCCUUUAAUAUGUCAAAGUGCUUUGGACUCUAAAAAAGAGAUGUGCAUACAGCCUCUUCCUUUUACUCAACAAGUAUUUAGUACAGUCCAUUGUUUCAGGUCUUGCUCAGUCUUGGGAUUACGAUACUGAGCCAAACAGACCUACCUGGUCUCUGCUCUUACGGAAUUCAUGCUCAAAUUCCACACAGAUAUUUAUUAUAAACCAUGGUAAUUGUUAUGAACAACAACAAAAAGCUAUCAGCAUUUUCUAAGUAACACUCUAUAAAGCAGGUAGACAUCUUCUUUCACUCAAUAUAAAAGACUGAAACCCAUAUAUUUCUCUUCUAGGUCCUAACAGUCUACCUUGCUCACAGGUCUAACAUGUUUCCCUUGCUAAAAAUGUAUUACAUUUUCAGAAGUAAAGACUGGAGGCAAAAGCAAGACACAAACUACUCAUUUAUGAAAAGGUCAAAAUUAAUAAAUACGUCCAGAUGCUUGAUGAGAAUAGCUCUAGCUUUAGGGGCUGCUUAAAUUAGAGUGAUGUAGAAACAGAAGCUAUGUCCUGUGGUCUACUCUGCAACUAAAAUGAAUGUGGACUGACGCAAGGAUCUGAUCCACAGUGGUUCCUACUGAAAGUAGCUGGUUUGAGUCAGCAAGUCUUCACAGUAAUGCAAACCCAAACCAACUGUACUUUGUUGAUUGCUAAACGACUAGGUUCUUCCUAUUUUUAUAGUGAGUAUUCUUAGCAGAAAAAUACAACACUGAUUUUAAAAUGUCAUUAAAUUAUCCCGAGUUAAUUUUUUCUUUUUAUAUUAAACAUUUGCAAAGCAUCAACUAUGUGCUAGACACUCUGCUAAGAACCAGGGCAAAUAAAGAGGAAACAGCCUGGUUGUGUUUUAUUUAUCCUUGUGAAGUGGGGGGUGGGGUGGGGAGGGUAUGUGUGUGUGUGUGUGUGUGUGUGUGUGUGUGUGUGUGACUAUGCCACAGAGGGAAAGCCCAAAUUCAUCACUUUCAAAAGAAUCAAUUAUUAUAUCAAAGCAGACUGACAUUCCUAAAUCUUUAGAGUUCUCUUUAUCUCAUUGUGGAUUAUUCUAACAUAUUCUCAGUUAAUAAGAAUAGUUGAGUCCUCAAAAACCUAAACACUUAAUGAACACAUUU
rnacentral:lncRNA from 1 species